CUGGUUCUCUGAGUAGCGACCCAAUUUCUCCUUCAUCUGGGCUAGAUCAGUCAUAGAAAACGGAACAUGUACCCGAGCCAGCCCAUCUGACGAGGGGACCUCUCUCAUAGGGAGGAGGGGAGCCCUGUCUCCAUAGCUCAGUCCGCUCCCGAAUGGCCUAUUCCACACUGAAGAGUCAACAGCUGUGCGUCCACAGAGAUUGCCCGACCAAGAGCACUCAGUUGUAACACUGAGGUUCCAUCUGUAUUUAAAGCAUCCUCUGUUAUUUUCAACAAACCUGAUGACAUUUACUUGUAAGUCUUUAAUAUUACUUAAGUGAUGUUGGGUUGUGAAAAAAGUAUUUAUGUAAUUUUUA
rnacentral:lncRNA from 1 species